ensembl:lncRNA
CCGAGGGUGGCGGGGCGGAGCCGCGCCGUGACAGGGCCGAGCCGGGAGGGUUUGUCGCGGAGCGCGGCCGGGGGAUCGCCUCAGCUUCCCCCGCAGCCCGGCUCCGCCUGAGGGCAGCUUUCCCGCGCUGGAAGCCCCUCCCGCCUCACCGCGGCGCUCCCCCGCCGCGCCUCAGGCGGCCCCGAGCCCUCCCGCCGCUGUCUGCGCCCGUGGUGCCGUGGCGGUGUUGUGGCAGCUUUGCAGCGGUGUGGUGGCGGUGCCACGGCAGCGUUGUGGCGGUGUGGGAGCGGUGUGGGAGCGGUGCCGCAGGCGCAGGGCGCGCAGCUCCGCGCUUUGUUCGGCACGAGGCCGGUGGGCGCGGGGUCCCACACGCAGGCGGGCGGGCGGGCCGCAGCCGGGCCGGGAGCCCUCAGCGCUGCUCUCCGGGGACUCUCGCAGCCCCUCGGCCAUCUGCGGUCAGCGCGGACAUCUGGCAGGCAGCUGCAGGAGGUGAAGGCGGUGGGUGGGUCGGAUCGGGGCCGGCGGGUCGGAGUGCGCGCAUCUCGGCGACGUGAGUGACUCAGACGAGCAGGGUUCAAAAGCGGCAGCUGGACGGGGUACGGCGGGAGCCGUUGUGAAGCGCGGAGACGUUCGGUGGGGCCGCGCACGGCCGUCCCUCGGUUACACGUCUGCGGUCAGCCGUACGAAGGACGCCGUCUGCAGCCCGCGGGUUCAGCUGCCCGUCACAAAGCUCCGCUUCCCGCGCAGCGCGGCUCUGCAGGUGCCCUCUGACCUCGGCUGCACAAGGAACGCACGCCUUCCUCCCUGCUUUCUCCUGCGGACAAACGUGCAGUCUUUCUCUUGUUAGAUUUCCAGCGUCUCAGCUCGGAGACGGUUGCUAAAAUAUAACAAAAUACAAACGAUUCCAUAUGUAUAUGGAUUGGGCGGGCUAUAUUUUGGAAUAAGAUCGGCCUUCGAAGUCAGCCUGCCUGUCUGUAGAUGUUUAUCUCAGCCUGAGGUACAACCUGUGCAGAGCAGAAGAUCCCUUCUUACUGUAUGCAGUAAAUGGUGCCCUUCGCUGGGCAAAGUAUUCACUACAAUCUUCCCUGACGAAAAGACCCGUGUAGCUUCCUUAUAUGAGGAGUGUCUAUUUUAAGAAUGUGGAACCGUUCAAACUGAGAAAAGGGUUCUAGUGAUCAUCCUUAGAAAGGUGAGGCUGUGCCUAUAUUCCCCUUUGGAAAUACAAGGCAGUUUGUCCAGUGGCUAGCACAGCAGAAGCUGGGGAGAUGAGUCUGGAUAUUGAUACUUCCAAUCUUGGCAAGCAGUAGCAAGCAUGACAAGUUAGAUUAAGAGCAGUUGGGAAGGAAAAACAGUUUUCCACAACUCUUUUAUACUGUAAAGCCUGGGAGGCUUUUAAACAAUGAUCCUUUAUCCUACCAUACAUUCCCUGGACGUCCUCUUUUGGGCACAAAAUGCUGAACUGCAUGGACUCUGGGAGGUCUCAGUACUGCCAUACUUAAAU